rnacentral:rRNA from 1 species
AGCAGUAGCCACGGGAAUACAGAGGGUGCGAGCGUUAAUCGGAUUUACUGGGCGUAAAGCGUGCGUAGGCGGCUUUUUAAGUCGGAUGUGAAAUCCCUGAGCUUAACUUAGGAAUUGCAUUCGAUACUGGGAAGCUAGAGUAUGGGAGAGGAUGGUAGAAUUCCAGGUGUAGCGGUGAAAUGCGUAGAGAUCUGGAGGAAUACCGAUGGCGAAGGCAGCCAUCUGGCCUAAUACUGACGCUGAGGUACGAAAGCGUGGGGAGCAAACAGGAUUAGAUACCCGGGUAGUCCCUGUCUCUUAUAC